rnacentral:misc_RNA from 1 species
AAAUAUAACUUAAGUAGGAGUGCUUUAGGUAUUUAGUAGAAAACUCCAUUAAAUGAAUUAAAUACUUUCAAAAUAUGUCACUUUUGGCAUGAAUUCAUUUCUUUCAAAAUGAUUUUUUUUUAAUUAAAGGAAUUAAAUUUUAGUAAUUUUAAAUUUUCCAAAUAUGAGAAUUGAUAAAAAGAAUUCAAUUGGAUCAUCGAAUUCUUUCAUAUUUAGACUUAAUUUCCAAGCACAUAGGAAAGAAUCUUAACUUUCUGCAGUGAAAACUGAAAGCCAACUCGACUUCAUUUUGAGGGAUGUGAGGGGAAAUGAAGAAAAAUGAAACUUGUAUGCUGUUUAUGAUAGAAGUUGGAUAGGAAUUUGGCUUCAAUGUUUUCUUUUUUAGGUUAGCAAGAAAGCAGAGGAAAUAGAACAGAGGAAAAGAACACACUGAAUUCUAGAGACGAAAUAUUAUUAAGGUUCAUUGAAUGCAUACUUACAACAACGUGCUCCUUUCUCUCUAUAUAUUAACAAUGAAACUAACACUGCCUAACUAGUUAACAGGUUGUGUAUUGCAUUUGACAUGUGGCACAUGUCCCUGCAUUUGUCCUAAAGCUUGCGGCCAUUGUAACUGUAAGCUUGUAAUGC